GUGCUCAUGGACCUCAUGAACACACAUCGAGAUUGGGAGAAAAGAGGAGCAAGGACCAGUCCUGGGACGCUCCAACGUUUAAGAAUCAGGGAGAAGAGGAGGAUCCAGUUGAGGAGAACGAGGAGGAGAAACCAAGGAGGGAGGAGAAAAAGCAAGAAAAGGGAUUUUAGGUGGAAACUAGCAAUUGCGCUCAAUGUUGUUGAAAAGUCAAGCUGGAUGUAGACUGAAAAUUGACUACUUGCUUGAACCACACAGGUCAUUGGUGACCUGGGCUAAAGCACUUUUGGUGGAGUGAUAAGGCUGGACUCUAACUACUAUGGAUUCAAGAGGAACAGAAUCUAUGUCUUAUGUUUCAUUAUGU